rnacentral:lncRNA from 1 species
UUUUAGCAUAAGUGUGAGAAGAACUGGGGUUAUCCCUUGAGUCAAGCCCAAGGUCCUUGUCACCAGGCUGUUUCUCAGUGUCUGUCUCUGUGUUAGAGCGAUCCAUAUUCAACUCAGCCUGGACAAUGGAAAAAACUUUCUGCAUAACCAUUUAUACGUUGCCACUAGGACAUGUGGGAAAAGUCCACUAACUACAGUUAGAUACAGCAGUACUACAACCACUAGGAGAACCACAAUUACAACUACCACCACAACUCCAUCUACUACGCCUACCACGACAACCACCGAAACCACCACAAAGGAACCAAAGCCAAGCAUCGAUAAAUUCAUUUUUGCCCCUGUCCUCCUGGCCCUGCUGCUGCUGCUGUUGCUGAUCGGUUGUUUCUGGCAGCUGUGCUGUGUUCCGCCUGUAGAGGAGCUGCCCCCACCUAAGCCCCAACCACAGCCCAGAGAGAAGAAGCAACCUCCUCCGGUGUCUCCCCCGGUACCCACCAGACCUGUAAACCCACCCCCCAUCAUGAUCAUCUGCUGUUGUACCUGUCGUGGUCUGUAUGUGAGCAGAGACACGAAGGGCAAUGUGACUGUGUGCAACUUCAAUCCCCUAUGCUGCCCUCAGUUGCCAUUGAGAUGGCCUCAGUAUGGUGGCCAGGGGCGGUUUGCCAACUGGGCACUCCUGAAGGGACCCUGCAUCCCCAUGGCCAGUCUGCUUGCUGGACGAGAGCAUCUGCCUUUAGUUUCCUGCUCUCAGUGCCACCGCCUCUCAGCUAACCACUCCAGGUAUUCCUCCAACUUACGGCAGCUUGCUCUUCAUCCUUGGGCUCCCAGAGUUCUACAGUCACUCCCUCCUACAUAGUGGACAUCUCAGGGGCACAAAGUGAAGACUAAGAGGUCUUUGCUGCUACAUUUUGUACAUUGGGGUUAGG